AUGAUGGCAAGGACGCCCCGGGUGUGCUGCUGUCCCCAUUGCUGCAGCGUGCGAAGGAUGAGCCAGACAGCCUUUCAAGUGGAUGUGGGAUUCUCCUUCACUUCCAGUCCUAAUCUGUUGUGUAGCGUUGCUGCACGCUGCUACGCCGCUGCUGCCUUCCAGCCCAGAGGUGGCUGCAUUGCAGUGGUGGCAGCCGGUGGUGGGGAACACAUCGCUGGAGUGCUGCCCACUCCCCCUGCUGUGCCACGCUGUCACACCACCCUGAAGCAGGAGAGAGCUGAGCAAAAGGCUGCAGGUUUUCCUGGUGAGACGUCCCUGGGGAUAGGAAGAAGAAACCAAGUGCUGCCAGUGGCCACCGCAGCCCUGGGCUCCCCUGGGAUGGCUGCCAUGAGUGAGCAGCCGGCAACGAGUGAAGAGGCGUUGGACGCAAGCCUGCAUGGCUCAGGUGUGCCAGGCUUGCUCCAGAACGUCCAGCAGCUGCUGGUGCAGAUCCUACAGACGUCACGGCAGCAGCAGGCGCUGCUGGAGAGCCUGGCCAGUGAUACCGUCUCCCACCUUAACUUCCUCUCCCACAGCCUGGUGCAGGUGGGUGAGACCCUGCACCAGCUCCUGCUCCGGCCACAGACCUACUUCAGCCCCUUUGUCCACUACAGUCCCCACGUGCCCAUUUUUGAGGGUGGCCCUGGGGUGCCCUGUUCCGCCGGCUCUCCCCGCGCCUCCCCGGAUCACAAAGAGGAGCCUCAGGUGUCCCCUGCCUCUGGCUGCACCCCGUGAGUGCCACCACCCUCAGCCCCAGGGGCACCAGCUUCACUAUGCAGCCACAGCACAGAUCUUUAUAGCAGAGGCCCUGGAUAUUUUGGAAGUUUAUAGAAGAGAGACAUUUAAAUAAAAUUAAAAAUAGCUUUUUCUACCA
rnacentral:lncRNA from 1 species